rnacentral:rRNA from 1 species
UACGUAGGGUGCGAGCGUUGUCCGGAAUUAUUGGGCGUAAAGAGCUCGUAGGCGGUUUGUCGCGUCGGCUGUGAAAACCCGGAGCUCAACUCCGGGCCUGCAGUCGAUACGGGCAGACUGGAGUUCGGCAGGGGAGACUGGAAUUCCUGGUGUAGCGGUGAAAUGCGCAGAUAUCAGGAGGAACACCGGUGGCGAAGGCGGGUCUCUGGGCCGAUACUGACGCUGAGGAGCGAAAGCGUGGGGAGCGAACAGG